UUUAUGGAGAGUUUGAUCCUGGCUCAGGAUGAACGCUGGCGGCGUGCCUAAUACAUGCAAGUCGAGCGAACAGAUAAGGAGCUUGCUCCUUUGACGUUAGCGGCGGACGGGUGAGUAACACGUGGGUAACCUACCUAUAAGACUGGAAUAACUCCGGGAAACCGGGGCUAAUGCCGGAUAACAUGUUGAACCGCAUGGUUCUACAGUGAAAGACGGUCUUGCUG
rnacentral:rRNA from 1 species